UGAUGGCCGGUGGCUGCUUUCGCAGAAGUAUAUCGAUCGGCUUCGGUGCUGACACGCAAAGUUGGCUGCUACGACAUAUAUGAUUCGAGCAACAUUCCGGAUCCGCACAAUCGAUGAGACCGUCUGGAAAAGUAUAGUAAUGGGUUCUUUAUAUCGGAGACUAAUGGCUCUAAAUGGCUGGCAUAAGCCACACCCAUGAUUUAGAGCUCGAAGUAAUAUGAAAAUGAAACGCGAAAACACGAAGUAACAAGUUCCUAAGAAACAAUUACACGUUUUUUGAUUUGGUGCGUCAAUGGAAUACUUUCAAACAUACUCAAACAUAUUUCUAUCUCUAGAACCCUACUUAAG